AUUUCCAUAUUUGAGUCUUCCUUGGAGCUCGAAUUUGGAGGACCUAUUCUAGGGAUUUCGGCUUGGAUUGUGAGGUCUUGGAAAGGAACUGGUGGAUGACAACCCACCUCAAGCUUGAACGGCGUUAGAAGUCCACUUUUGUAUCUUUGUAUAUUCCCCAUUAUUUUGUAAAACACUAGAAGUGCAAAGAUGUAUAAUUAUUUUGUGGAACUUUGUCAUGUAAUAUAACUAAAGUAUUGAUGAUGUUUUGGAUGGGGAUUUGAUAGUA